AUACGGAGGAUGCGAGCGUUAUCCGGAUUUAUUGGGUUUAAAGGGAGCGUAGGCGGGAGCUUAAGUCAGCGGUUAAAUGGUGCGGCUCAACCGUGCCCUGCCGUUGAAACUGGGUUUCUUGAGAGUGCAAGAGGCGGAUGGAAUUCAUGGUGUAGCGGUGAAAUGCUUAGAUAUCAUGAAGAACUCCGAUUGCGAAGGCAGUCCGCUGGGGCACGUCUGACGCUGAUGCUCGAAGGUGCGGGAAUCAAACAGGAUUAGAUACCCUGGUAGUCCGCACGGUAAACGAUGAUUACCCGCUGUCGGCGGCAGACAGUCGGCGGCCAAGCGAAAGCGAUAAGUAAUCCACCUAGGGAGUACGCCGGCAACGGUGAAACUCAAAGGAAUUGGCGGGG
rnacentral:rRNA from 1 species